rnacentral:lncRNA from 10 species
AUGGCGUGAACCUGGGAGGCGGAGGUGGCAGUGAGCCGAGAUCGUGCCACUGCACUCCAGCGUGGGCGACACAGCAAGACUCCAUCUCAAAAAAAAAAAAAAAAAAAAAAUCAAGUAGCUUGCUCGGGGUUCCAUAACACCUCUUCCUUCUGUUUCUCUGGCUUUCCCUCAGUCCACAUAUAAGGCUUCAUGAGAGAAGACACGAAUGGAUAUAAACCAAUGGGAAUAAACCAAGACAAGUCCUGGUUUAUGAAUUGGUCUGCACAGUAUGCUGGCUCCAGCUGGAAGUAUUACAUAGCCUCACUUAGAGAUGACCCUAAGAGACAGUGAUAAAGCCAACCUCAUAUCUUGCUACCAGAAGCACAUGAGAAUAAUUCUUUUAAGAGGCUUUAAAAUCCCAGCUACUCAGGAGGGUGAAGUGGGAGGAUCCCUUGAGCAUCGGAGCUUGAGACCAGCCUGGACAACAUAGUAGGACACUGCCUCAAUAAAAAAUUAAGUAAAUAAAUAGAUAGCUUUUGAGUUAUCUAUACUGUGAUAUAAUACACCACACCCUUUACAAGAGCAAAUUCUGGGGCAUGAUUAAAUGAAAAGCAAAGGUAGUACUUCAUAGCAUCUGCAAACUGGCAUAGUGCAGACAGGCAAAAAGCAAUGGUAAAUAACUACUGGAACAUAUGUAGAAAAUGUCCUGUUUGGCAUCUACUGCAGAGUAGGCUCUCAAUCAGAUGGGUAAGAUAGCUAGUCCUAUGGAUGUCAGCCUUUUUCCCCAGCCACCCUGGUGCUUAAUAGGCCCAUUUAUAAAGUGCCAUGGCAACAAGAAAGGAGGUCUGCAUGGACUUCUCACUGAGGCUUCUCUGCCCAUGCACCAAGAGUCAAGGCUAUGCUGGGCCCCUGACUGAUCACACCAUUCUCCAGGGAACCAAUGAGCCUCUUGGUGGUAGAUUGAUACAUUGGACCCUUUCUACACAGAAGGAGAAGCAAUUUGUGCCUUUGGGAAUAGAAACAUUCCAAAUAUGAAUUUGCCUGCCAGAAAUGGUCCUGCUGGCACUAAGCAGAAGGCCUAUUCAUUGCUGUGAUAUUCCAUACAAAUCACUAAGCAACCUGUCUACAGUGAAGGACACGAUGAGAGAGAAUUACACUGAUACAAUUUACUAGCACUACCACAAGCCCCAAGGACCCAGAAGCAUCUGACUUGACAAAAUGGCAGAAUGCCUGCUAACAGCUUAGUUACUACAUUAGCUGGAGAAAAUUAGCUGGAGGAUUAGAAGGCUGUCUUACAGAAUGAAUAUAUGACUUAAGCCAGUAGCUAAUAUUUGGUGACGUCUCCCGCAUAGCCAAAUACCGCAUGAACCGAAUAACCAAGGGGUGGAGGUUUGGAAUGGCCCCUUUCACUUUUUCCCUUUUUAUUUUAAUUUAUUUAUUUGAGGAGUUGCUGUGUUACCCAGGCUGGAGUGCAGUGGUGUGAGCACAGCUCACUGCAACCUCAACCUCCCAGGCUCAAGUAAUCCUCCCACCUCAGCCUCCCAAGUAGCUGGGACUACAAACAUGCGCCACCACCCCCAGCUUAUUUUUGUGGUUUUAGUAGAGAAGGGGUCUCACUAUGUUGCCCAGGCUGGUCUCCUACUCCUGGGUUCAAGCAAUCAACCUGCCUUGGCCUCCCAAAGUGCUUGGAUUACAGGUGUGUGCCACUGCACCCAGCCAACAUUUUCCCUUUUUAAAGAAAAGAAACAUAAUUCAGACAUACAUAUAAAGCAUACAAUUCAGUGAUAUUUUUUAGUAUAUUUAUAAAGUUGUACAACCAUCAACACUAUCUAAUUUCAGCAGAUUUUCAUCAUCUCCAAAAGAAACUCCAUAUCCAUUAGCAGUUCACUUUCCAUUCACACCACCCUACCCCUAGCACCUGACAACCACUAAGCUACUUUCUGUCUCUAUCAAUUUACAUAUUCUGUGCAUUUUAUAUUAAUAAAAUCAUGUAAUAUGUGACCUUUUGCAUCUGGCUCUUUUCAUUUAGCAUAAUGUUUUCAAGGCUUAUCUGUGUUGUAGUAUGUAUCAAUAUUUCAUUCCUUUUGGCCAGGCAUGGCAGCUAACGCCUGUA